UACGUAGGGUGCAAGCGUUGUCCGGAAUUAUUGGGCGUAAAGAGCUCGUAGGCGGCUUGUCGCGUCGUCCGUGAAAACCUGCAGCUCAACUGCAGGCUUGCGGGCGAUACGGGCAGGCUAGAGUUCGGUAGGGGAGACUGGAAUUCCUGGUGUAGCGGUGAAAUGCGCAGAUAUCAGGAGGAACACCGGUAGCGAAGGCGGGUCUCUGGGCCGAUACUGACGCUGAGGAGCGAAAGCGUGGGGAGCGAACAGG
rnacentral:rRNA from 1 species